rnacentral:rRNA from 1 species
GGGUGAUUGCGCAUGGGGGGAACCCUGAGCAGCGACGCCGCGUGCGGGAUGAAGGCCUUCGGGUUGUAAACCGCUUUUGAUUGGGAGCAAGCUUUUUGGGGGAUGGUCCUUUUCAAUUAACCCCCGGUUAAUUCCUGCCCACCGCCCGGGGAAUUCCA